rnacentral:rRNA from 1 species
CAGCAGCCGCGGGAAUACGUAGGUGGCAAGCGUUGUCCGGAAUUAUUGGGCGUAAAGGGCUCGCAGGCGGUUUCUUAAGUCUGAUGUGAAAGCCCCCGGCUCAACCGGGGAGGGUCAUUGGAAACUGGGAAACUUGAGUGCAGAAGAGGAGAGUGGAAUUCCACGUGUAGCGGUGAAGUGCGUAGAGAUGUGGAGGAACACCAGUGGCGAAGGCGACUCUCUGGUAUGUAACUGACGCUGAGGAGCGAAAGCGUGGGGAGCGAACAGGAUUAGAUACCCGGGUAGUCCCUGUCUCUUAUAC